AUUGAACGCUGGCGGAAUGCUUUACACAUGCAAGUCGAACGGCAGCAUAGGUGCUUGCACCUGAUGGCGAGUGGCGGACGGGUGAGUAAUACAUCGGAACGUGCCCAGUCGUGGGGGAUAACGUAGCGAAAGUUACGCUAAUACCGCAUACGAUCUAAGGAUGAAAGCGGGGGACCGUAAGGCCUCGCGCGAUUGGAGCGGCCGAUGUCAGAUUAGGUAGUUGGUGAGGUAAAGGCUCACCAAGCCGACGAUCUGUAGCUGGUCUGAGAGGACGACCAGCCACACUGGGACUGAGACACGGCCCAGACUCCUACGGGAGGCAGCAGUGGGGAAUUUUGGACAAUGGACGCAAGUCUGAUCCAGCCAUUCCGCGUGCAGGACGAAGGCCUUCGGGUUGUAAACUGCUUUUGUACGGAACGAUAAAGCUCUUACUAAUACUAGGAGUCCAUGACGGUACCGUAAGAAUAAGCACCGGCUAACUACGUGCCAGCAGCCGCCGCCG
rnacentral:rRNA from 1 species